CUACGGGUUGCUCCAGUGGGGAAUAUUGCACAAUGGACGAAAGUCUGAUGCAGCAACGCCGCGUGGAGGAUGACACAUUUCGGUGCGUAAACUCCUUUUAUAUAGGAAGAUAAUGACGGUACUAUAUGAAUAAGCGCCGGCUAACUCCGUGCCAGCAGCCGCGGUAAUACGGAGGGCGCAAGCGUUACUCGGAAUCACUGGGCGUAAAGAGCGUGUAGGCGGAUUAAAAAGUCAGAAGUGAAAUCCUAUAGCUUAACUAUAGAACUGCUUCUGAAACUCUUAAUCUAGAAUAUGGGAGAGGUAGAUGGAAUUUCUGGUGUAGGGGUAAAAUCCGUAGAGAUCAGAAGGAAUACCGAUUGCGAAGGCGAUCUACUAGAACAUUAUUGACGCUGAGACGCGAAAGCGUGGGGAGCAAACAGGAUUAGAUACCCCUGUAGUC
rnacentral:rRNA from 1 species